GAAAUCUAGUUCUCUUUGCUCUUGUUCAAGAAUACUUUUAAAUAAUUAAAAUAUUUUUAAAAUAUAAAUAUUGCAACACAAUAGAGUCUCCCCUUGAUUUGGCAGGAAAUCACAAACUGCACUUGAAAACAGGUGCACGCGCCAUGUUUAACCGCUGGCUAAUGAACCGUGCACCUGCACCUGCAUCGAAUACACCCUUUUUGCUUACGCUGGCAGAACCAGUCGAACUGCUGGGCCACCCUUUCACGGUGCGCAUCAGGUGAAAUCCGAUUCGAAUCGUUACGAAUUGUUUCCCCGGUGUCGUGGAAUGAAAUCGUGUAGGCAGUAGUAGCAACCAGCACCAGCAGUGCCCAGGUUCGGUACGCGCGUGUUAAUGGUGGGAUUUUGAUUAAUUGUGGGCGAAUAAAAUAUGUUGCUUCAGACAAAUUCGACGGCUUCGCUUUGUCGGUGGAUCAAACGUAGCGCGGGAAGGAUGCUUGCCGGCCUGAAGGCUUGCUUCGAACGGCACAACAACAAUGUUCAUUGUGCACCCGUCAAUUGUGCUCUGCCCUGAGCGAUGAAGCCAGCUAAAAAUAUGGUUUGCGCUAGGCAAGGUGUACAGGCUUCGGUGCGCUGUUAAAUGCUAGGUGGAAUUGCAAGCCAAUAAAGUGCGUUUAAUAGGAAAAUCGGAGUACUUUUGUACGGUUGAAUGGAGGCGCCUGGUAGUUGAAUGGAGGCGCCUGGUACUUCGAUGGAGGCGCCUGGCAUUUUAAUUGUGAAGUAAUAAAAUUCAACUUUUCAAUUAAA